rnacentral:rRNA from 1 species
UACAGAGGGUGCAAGCGUUAAUCGGAAUUACUGGGCGUAAAGCGCACGUAGGCGGCUUUGUAAGUUAGAGGUGAAAGCCCAGGGCUUAACCCUGGAAUUGCCUUUAAGACUGCAUCGCUAGAAUUGUGGAGAGGUAAGUGGAAUUCCGAGUGUAGAGGUGAAAUUCGUAGAUAUUCGGAAGAACACCAGUGGCGAAGGCGACUUACUGGACACAUAUUGACGCUGAGGUGCGAAAGCGUGGGGAGCAAACAGG